GAUGAACGCUGGCUACAGGCUUAACACAUGCAAGUCGAGGGGAAACGACGGGGAAGCUUGCUUCCCCGGGCGUCGACCGGCGCACGGGUGAGUAACGCGUAUCCAACCUGCCUCUGACUGAGGGAUAACCCGUCGAAAGUCGGCCUAAUACCUCAUGGCAUCGUCUGCGGGCAUCCAACGACGAUUAAAGAUUUCAUCGGUCAGGGAUGGGGAUGCGUCUGAUUAGCUUGUUGGCGGGGUAACGGCCCACCAAGGCUACGAUCAGUAGGGGUUCUGAGAGGAAGGUCCCCCACAUUGGAACUGAGACACGGUCCAAACUCCUACGGGAGGCAGCAGUGAGGAAUAUUGGUCAAUGGGCGAGAGCCUGAACCAGCCAAGUAGCGUGCAGGAUGACGGCCCUAUGGGUUGUAAACUGCUUUUAUGCGGGGAUAAGGUGAGGGACGUGUCCUUCAUUGCAGGUACCGCAUGAAUAAGGACCGGCUAAUUCCGUGCCAGCAGCCGCGGUAAUACGGAAGGUCCGGGCGUUAUCCGGAUUUAUUGGGUUUAAAGGGAGCGUAGGCCGUGGAUUAAGCGUGUUGUGAAAUGCAGGUGCUCAACGUCUGCACUGCAGCGCGAACUGGUCCACUUGAGUGUGCGCAACGCAGGCGGAAUUCGUGGUGUAGCGGUGAAAUGCUUAGAUAUCACGAAGAACUCCGAUUGCGUAGGCAGCUUGCUGUAGCGUAACUGACGCUGAAGCUCGAAAGUGCGGGUAUCGAACAGG
rnacentral:rRNA from 1 species